AUUGAACGCUGGCGGCAGGCCUAACACAUGCAAGUCGAACGAGUGGCGGACGGGUGAGUAAUGUCUGGGAAACUGCCUGAUGGAGGGGGAUAACUACUGGAAACGGUAGCUAAUACCGCAUACCAUCGGAUGUGCCCAGAUGGGAUUAGCUAGUAGGUGGGGUAACGGCUCACCUCGGCGACGCUCCCUAGCUGGUCUGAGAGGAUGACAAGCCACACUGGAACUGAGACACGGUCCAGACUCCUACGGGAGGCAGCAGGGGGGAAUAUUGUACAAGGGGCGCAAGCCGGAUGCAGCCAUGCCGCGUGUAUGAAGAAGGCCUUCGGGUUGUAAAGUACUUUCAGCGGGGAGGCGUUACCCGCAGAAGAAGCACCGGCUAACUCCGUGCCAGCAGCCGCGGUAAUUC
rnacentral:rRNA from 1 species